GCCCCAUAUACCAAACCAUAGAAGGGAACAGGCACGAACAAAGCCUUUCCAUAGUGCUGAACCAAAAUAUAACACAUGGGCCAUAGUCCUGAGGUAAGAGGCUGGCCAGCAGGCCCCUCCAAGAACCUGUGACGAGGUUCAGUUCACCACAGUUGUCAAUUUGCAGUGCAUGCUGACAACAGAUGUAAUUUAUGCACAGAAUUGACAUUGACUUCUGUUCCGGGCUGCCUAAGUCACG